rnacentral:rRNA from 1 species
UACGUAGGGGGCAAGCGUUGUCCGGAUUUACUGGGUGUAAAGGGCGCGCAGGCGGACUGACAAGUCAGAGGUGAAAUCCUGCAGCUUAACUGCAGAACUGCCUUUGAAACUGUCAGUCUUGAGUACGGAAGAGAGAGACGGAAUUCCAGGUGUAGUGGUGAAAUACGUAGAUAUCUGGAAGAACACCAGUUGCGAAGGCGGUCUCUUGGUCCGUUACUGACGCUCAGGCGCGAAAGCGUGGGUAGCAAACAGG